UGAAGUGAUGAUAAAAAUGUUACAACGUUGCUCGAAGACACGUCGAUGUGAGCACAAUGAUUUCUCAAGACUACAACGGUAUCUGAUU
rnacentral:snoRNA from 1 species